CCUACGGGGUGCAGCAGUGGGGAAUAUUGCACAAUGGGCGCAAGCCUGAUGCAGCCAUGCCGCGUGUAUGAAGAAGGCCCUAGGGUUGUAAGGUACUUUCAGUCGGGAGGAAGGCGUUGAUGCUAAUAUCAUCAACGAUUGACGUUACCGACAGAAGAAGCACCGGCUAACUCCGUGCCAGCAGCCGCGGUAAUACGGAGGGUGCAAGCGUUAAUCGGAAUUACUGGGCGUAAAGCGCACGCAGGCGGUUGAUUAAGUUAGAUGUGAAAUCCCCGGGCUUAACCUGGGAAUGGCAUCUAAGACUGGUCAGCUAGAGUCUUGUAGAGGGGGGUAGAAUUCCAUGUGUAGCGGUGAAAUGCGUAGAGAUGUGGAGGAAUACCGGUGGCGAAGGCGGCUCUCUGGUCUGUAACUGACGCUGAGGCGCGAAAGCGUGGGGAGCAAACAGGAUUAGAUACCCGUGUAGUC
rnacentral:rRNA from 1 species